rnacentral:sRNA from 1 species
GUUGACGCAGUGCUGAUUCUGUUCUCUUUGGGAAACAACUCUUUAUCUUCCACAAGGGUCAGUGCUCCUCCAUCAUGCUCAGAAGCUGUGCAUCAUUCUUGAGGAGCCAUCACCACAGCUUAUCUUUGUGACUCUUCCUUCUCUCAUCAUGCUCAGAGACAAGAGAGAGAGAUAUGUACAGUUGAAUCCACUGAUGUCACAACAGCAUCUGUGAUUCUGUGGCCCCAGAGGGAGCAGUGUAAUGAUAAUCCAUAUACACAAAAGGAUAUCAUGAUCAACCAGACCAUAAGAGGUGACCUCUCCAAGUGGUUCAUUAAUGGUUCUCAGUAGGCAGACCCCAUCUUCAGAUUUUGAUUCGCUGCUGCGCCGUGAUUCAACACCUAGAGAGCGCCGCCCGAGACGAGCACCCGGUGACUGCCUCUCAUUCCCUAGGGUAUAAGUAGAGAGCUCUCUCCCCCUCUCCGAAUCCAUCCUUUUCAAUUCCUUUUCCACCUCCCAACAGCUGCACCCUACCCCAACGUAACGAGCGUGCCUUCAGCCACGGCCUCUGCCGAAUCUAAACCCCACGACACCAUCGUUAUCAACGACGAUACCGACGCAGAAACGGGCGCCCCUCGUUCCCAACCGUGAGAACUACGGAGAAAGAGGCGCUGUAUGGUCUAUAGCUUCCGAGAGUGCGAGGCUCUGUUUGAUAACCCAGCGCUCCCUGUUGCCUCUACACCCACAGCAUUGCGGCCAUUGAAGAAACGCAAAACACCCAACUUGACAACCGUCCUGGAAACCGCGAACCAGGAAAUCCACGCUGUAUUUGAAGCGAAGUCUGUGGAGACCAAGGCGCUGGAAGCAGAAGUGUGGCGUCUGAGGGAGCAGAACAUCGAGCUGGAAGUCAAGCACCGUGCGGAGCUGGGCAGGAAAAAAGAGCAGAUCCGCACGCUGAAGGCUGAGGUUAGGGAGCUGGAGCACCGAUGUGAAUGUCCGAUAUGUUAUACCAUCAACUCGGAGUCGGGGUGGAGGAUCCACCUGUGCGGACAUAGGUUUUGCUCAGAUUGCCUCUCUAGUGGGCUGGAGUCCUGUGAAUUGUGUCGUCGAGAGAUUACUGGCUAUAUCAAGAGUCUUUGGAUAGGAGAUGCUUUGGUCAGCCAUUCUAUAGCGGGAAAGAUCUCCCAAGCACAAUCCACGUAUCCUCAAAGCUUGG